rnacentral:rRNA from 1 species
UUUUGCGGUAUCCUGACCGUGCUAAGGUAGCGUGAUAAUUCGCCCUUUAAUUGUGGGCUUGUAUGAACGGACGAACGAGAGUUUUUCUGUCUCCUUAGCAAACCUAAAAAUUAAUCUCUAGGUGAAGAAGCCUAGAUCCCUCCAAAGGACAAAAAGACCCUAAAGAGCUUUGUCAGUCCUCAUCACACUACCCUCCCUAUAAUAUAUUUUAAUUACUAUGAAUACUGACUUAACUGGGGCGGUUAAGGAAAAAUCUUAAUCUUCCAUCAAACUUAUCAAGACCUACAAGUCUCUUUUUCUGACCCUAAUAAGAACAUAGAAACAAGCUACCUUAGGGAUAACAGAUUCAUCCUCCUCAAGAGUACACAUUGACAGGAGGGAUUGACACCUCGAUGUUGGCUUAGGGUUACUUGGGGGUAGCAGCCGCCCCCAACGUAGGUUUGUUCAACCUUUAAACCCCUACAUGAUCUGAGUUCAAACCGG